rnacentral:rRNA from 1 species
CAGUUCAGAUUGCAGGCUGCAACCCGCCUGCAUGAAGUCGGAAUUGCUAGUAAUCGCGGAUCAGCAUGCCGCGGUGAACACGUUCCCGGGCCUUGUACACACCGCCCGUCACACCAUGGGAGCCGGUAAUACCCGAAGUCAGUAGUCCAACCUCGUGAGGACGCUGCCGAAGGUAGGAUUGGCGACUGGGGUGAAGUCGUAACAAGGUACC